AAGUAAAUGGCGUAAAAUAAGCGUGUGCGAUUUCGGCUCGUAAGGUACUAAAUUGUUUUACUUU
rnacentral:tRNA from 1 species